GACGAACGCUGGCGGCGUGCCUAAUACAUGCAAGUAGAACGCUGAAGGAGGAGCUUGCUCUUCUGGAUGAGUUGCGAACGGGUGAGUAACGCGUAGGUAACCUGCCUGGUAGCGGGGGAUAACUAUUGGAAACGAUAGCUAAUACCGCAUAACAGUAGAUGUUGCAUGACAUUUACUUAAAAGGUGCAAUUGCAUCACUACCAGAUGGACCUGCGUUGUAUUAGCUAGUUGGUGGGGUAACGGCUCACCAAGGCGACGAUACAUAGCCGACCUGAGAGGGUGAUCGGCCACACUGGGACUGAGACACGGCCCAGACUCCUACGGGAGGCAGCAGUAGGGAAUCUUCGGCAAUGGACGGAAGUCUGACCGAGCAACGCCGCGUGAGUGAAGAAGGUUUUCGGAUCGUAAAGCUCUGUUGUAAGAGAAGAACGAGUGUGAGAGUGGAAAGUUCACACUGUGACGGUAUCUUACCAGAAAGGGACGGCUAACUACGU
rnacentral:rRNA from 1 species